CUGAUAUCUCAUAUGUAAAAUUGUAAAUAUUUAAAAAGAAUUGCGUCUUAACUGUCUCGUCUAACCCUACAAGGUUAUUACAGUUAGCUUGCACCUUCAUAUUAUGUAAUAUUUAAUGAAGAGAAGCAGUGGCGGACACUAGGGGGAGGGGGCGAGGGGUGGCCCGAGCCCCCCGGAUAAUUUUAAAAGACUGUAAAAAUCUUGUACCAAAUAACACAAAUCACACUCAUAUAACGUAAUAUAUUGUCAUAUUAAAUAAUAACUAUUAGAUAAAACUUAAGCUAAAGCAGUAAGCAAUAUACCAAACAAUAUAAUAAUAUACGUUUCUGUACUGUAACUGACACAACAUACGCAUUUUAUACAUUCUUUUUGACGGAUACUAGGAGGUCAACUUUUUGCAACAGGCACUUCUUUAAAUGUCAUUGUCGAUUUUUUGUUGUUUUUGAAGCUUAUACUAGUCUUUAGCAGCAAAAUUUUCUGCUGCACAAUAAUAUUUGAAUGCGUAUUAAAC